rnacentral:misc_RNA from 1 species
UCGUGGAGCUCCGGCUCCGUCGAGGGAGAACCCUUGCCUUUUCGAGCACCUGUUUGUUUCCUCGGCAGGCCCGCCUGCCAAUGGGGACCCCUUAAACUCUUGCAACAACCUGUACAAAAUCGUCUGAACAAAACAAUUUAAAUCA